rnacentral:rRNA from 1 species
GACGUUAGCGGCGGACGGGUGAGUAACACGUGGGUAACCUACCUAUAAGACUGGGAUAACUUCGGGAAACCGGAGCUAAUACCGGAUAAUAUUUCGAACCGCAUGGUUCGAUAGUGAAAGAUGGUUUUGCUAUCACUUAUAGAUGGACCCGCGCCGUAUUAGCUAGUUGGUAAGGUAACGGCUUACCAAGGCGACGAUACGUAGCCGACCUGAGAGGGUGAUCGGCCACACUGGAACUGAGACACGGUCCAGACUCCUACGGGAGGCAGCAGUAGGGAAUCUUCCGCAAUGGGCGAAAGCCUGACGGAGCAACGCCGCGUGAGUGAUGAAGGUCUUCGGAUCGUAAAACUCUGUUAUUAGGGAAGAA